ensembl:lncRNA
GUUUUUUUCCGAGCUCCGCAUGUGGACGUCAUGACGUCAUGACGUCUUCUCUCUAACCUGAACGACGUUGACAGAAAAUUCUGUUCAAUAUGGCUGCCCUUCUCGAGCGACUGGAGAACACAUUUGGAGAAACUUGCUGAAGGCCAAAGACAAAAAGACAGAAGAAAAAAAAAUUCAGACUGCAAUUAAUUUCAGGUGGAGACAGUAAACACAGGAGGCGCCUGAUAUCAACGUGAAACGCACUGCAGUACUUCGUGCCCUUCCUGUAUACCUGCGGGAGGAGGACCCAGAAUUCUUUUAGACAUGUAAUACCCACAUGACUCAUCAUGGCAGAUGGCUCCCCCUCCCUGAGCCUGGUUCUGCUGGAGGUUUCUUCCUGUUAAAAAGUUGUUUUUCCUCCCCACUGUCGCCAGAUGCAACCAGCGGGAUCAGUAAGGCCUGAAAGUCUCUCUUAAGCAUGCUGGUAAUGUUCUUGUCAGAAAGCUCAUUUAGCCCAGUAGGUCCACAAUGUGUGAAAGUGCUACAAGCAUUUGAGCCCCACUCCAUGUCUCAUCCAUGACAUUUUUGACUUAAUUCUCUUCACUCCCAUGUGCAUGGCCUCUUAAUUGGUACGAUAAUGACUGCAAACCAACUGCUCUGUAGAGAGGACGAUCAGUAAGUGCUAUAGAUCUAUAUGAGGAAGUUCUCCACUCAAGCUUAUCUAUUGAAUUUAAACCCUCUCUUGCUUUCAGUAAAUCCUGUCCACUCUGUUUUGGACAAGUAACAAGGCUCAUAGAAACCUUUUUAAAGCACUUUGAGUGGUUAGGAAGAACGUAAAUGUAACUCUAGUCCAUAUUUCCACUAGAAGAUCAUUUUAUUUAAGAAUAAAAUAAUUAUGAGGGUAAAUGCACUGUGAUGGCCAAACCCGUGGCCACACUAAAUUCGGUAACUUUUGUAUUUUCAUUCUUCAUUUGAACAUACUUAAUACAUUUUAGUUGCCAAUAAUUUCAUUGAUUGGUUUGGAUACAUUUGUUCUAUUUGUAAGCGCGCACAUUUAGUUUACUUAUGUAUUCAUACUACUUCAUUUCUUUGCUUUCUGACUAACCUUUGUCUUUUUAUUUCUUACCUGCCAUCAUCCCUGGGAGUUGCUGGACAAAAGAUGGCAGCCAGGGUUUGAAACCAUUAAAUAUGAAGAAGAUAAUUGGACCACACCACCACUUCCUGCUGAAGGGGGAAUGUCCAUCCAUCCAUCCAUCUUCAUCCGCUUUGUCCGGGGCCGGGUCGCGGGGGCAGCAGCCUAAGCAAAGAGGCCCAGACCUCCCUCUCCCCAGCCACCUCCUCCAGCUUAUCCGGGGGAAUACCAAGGCGUUCCCAGGCCAGCCGAGAGAUAUAAUCUCUCCAGCGUGUCCUGGGUCUGCCCCGGGGCCUCCUCCCGGUGGGACAUGCAUGGAACUCCUCACCCAGGAGGCGCCCAGGGGGCAUCCUUGUCAGAUGCCCGAACCACCUCAGCUGGCUCCUUUCGAUGUGGAGCAGCAGCUGCUCUACUCUGAGCCCCUCCCGGAUGGCCGAACUUCUCACCCUAUCUCUAAGGGAGAGGCCAGCCACCCUUCGGAGGAAGCUCAUUUCUGCCGCUUGUAUCCGCGAUCUCGUUCUUUCGGUCACUACCCACAGCUCGUGGCCAUAGGUGAGGGUAGGGACGUAGAUC